CCUACGGGUGGCUGCAGUGGGGAAUAUUGCGCAAAGGGCGCAAGCCUGACCCAGCAACGCCGCGUGAAGGAAGAAGGCUUUCGGGUUGUAAACUUCUUUUCUCAGGGACGAAGCAAGUGACGGUACCUGAGGAAUCAGCCACGGCUAACUACGGGACAGCCGCAGCGGUAAUACGUAGGUGGCAAGCGUUAUCCGGAUUUACUGGUGUUAAAGGGCGUGUAGGCGGGACUGCAAGUACGCUGUGAAAACCACGGGCUCAACCUGUGGCCUGCAUUUGAAAAUGUAGUUCUUGAGUACUGGAGAGGCAGGCGGAAUUCCUAGUGUAGCGGUGAAAUGCGUAGAUAUUAGGAGGAACACCAGUGGCGAAGGCGGUCUGCUGGACAGCAACUGACGCUGAGGCGCGAAAGCGUGGGGAGCAAACAGGAUUAGAUACCCGAGUAGUC
rnacentral:rRNA from 1 species